GCCGAUGUAGCCCAACCAGGCAGAGGCGCUUGUCUUAGAAACAAGAGGUUGAGAGUUCGAAUCUCUCCAUCGGCACCA
rnacentral:tRNA from 1 species